GCAGGAGCUGCCUGCCCGGCGCAGCUGGGGUGCCCGGCUCCGCGCUUUGGCCGGCAGGGUGAGUCUGCCGAGUUCCGCGGACGGAACCGGGAGGAUGUGAGACCUGCCCUUGAAGCCCGUUCGCGCUUCCCUAAUGAAUAGAGUGCAAAACAGCUGAAGAAGCAGCCUUAUUGCUCAAAAGGAAAUGUUGAUACAUCUCGGGGCUUUGAGCAUGGGAGAUGAAGGGCCCAGCUUUAUGCCACUUAAUGUAGUAACAUGGUUGAUGGAGAACAGACCAAGGAGACUUUGAUCAGCUCAUUCUUCAAGGGAAGUUUCAGCAAAUGUUCACCAAGAUUAGCCGAUGGGAUUGAGAGGAGAAGACCCUCAAUGGCAACGGCAUGCUCCCUCACAGCACAAGGUGUUCUCAAGGGAAGCACUCCCUGUCAUGAUAUCGGAUACAACGCCUCAACCUGAUAAACCUAGACAUUCACAGAGGCUUUCAGGAUAAAGUAUAUCAAAUGGCUUCCAGGAUGGCCAGCCCCACAGGUUCCACCCUCUAGCAGCAGACCUGCCAGUAAGGAAAUCUUCAGGAGAGAUGCUCGGAACCUGGAAUAUCACCACCAACACGUUCUCUGAGAAGGGGGAGGUGUGGGCCAGCAGAAAAAGUCUCAGUGGGUUUACGGAGUCUUCCAAAGAAAACAAGUUUGAUGUCCACAAAUCCAACCAUAAUCCUUCACAUGGAUACUUUCUUUGAAGCCAGGUGUCUCUUCUUAACAUCACGCAAGCAGGACAGGACAGGAGCUGGGAAUGCUGCAGCCAGGAGGACCCCAUCCAGAUCGUUACAAACAGCUCCCCCAGAUCACUUGAUCUUAGGGAAGAAAAGGGAAUCAAACCCUGUGCCCCUGACAGGAAAUGACAGGAUGAACAUUUUCCUGGCUAAAAGUUUGAAAUAUACACCUUUGCCACACACAAAAUUUUCACCCAUUAUUUCUUUCCUUAUACUUUCCUCAUUUAAAAUGUACAAUUUCAUAGAAUAAUCCAAUUUAUACACCCUAAAUGCAUGAAACCCAUUUUUUCAGUUAUUCAGUCAGUAUUUACGGAGCACCUAACACGUGCCAGGCAUCGUUUCGUUCACUGCCAAGGCUUCAGUCCCUAAAACAAAGUUGCUGCUCUCAGAGUUCUGACUUCCCAAUGCUUUGCUAAUGGUUUCCUGCAUGAGCCCUCACAAAGAACACCUUCCUUUUUUAAGAUAACAUUUUUUGAGGGUUUAUGCGUGUCAGGCACUGAACACCAUUAAUUCAUUUAAUUCUCACAGCACCCCUGUGAGGUGGUACGAUUUCUAUCCCCUCUUUACAGAUGAAGAAUUUGAAAUUUAAAGACAGGAUAAGUAACUUACCCAAGGCUACAAAGCUAGUAAAUCACAGAUAGGAUUAAAAUGUAGGUCCAGUUCCAAACUCCUCCAUCUUAAUCCCUACACUAAACUGCCUUCAGAACUUCUUAAAUAUAGUUGGCUAUGAUGGACA